rnacentral:tmRNA from 1 species
GGGGAUGUUUUUUGGUUUUGACAGCAAGGUUAGAUUGAAAUGUAAGCACGUCGAGCGUUGAGGUUUAGCUCGUUAAUAUCAGGUCUCAAGCCAUUAAUUGGCAACAACAAUUACGCACUCGCAGCCUGAUACACCAAGUGUAUCGGCUUAAUCCGGCAAUCCAAGGCGGUUGUUGGACGAGAAUCUCGCAAAAGACCCGCCUUUCGGUCUUUUGAUUUUGAGGUUUCAUUCAAAGAAAGGAUAGCGCACGCGAUGUCUCUAAACAUGCGUAAAAUUUCAGAGAAUAAGGAUAAAACCGAUUGCUUCUUAUCAAGUUUUAAUCCCGACAAUUGAAAAGAAGAUAAGCGUGUAGAAAGCAUUUUGGACACUUGCCUGGACGCGGGUUCGACUCCCGCCAUCUCCACUA